UGGAUUCAUGAACGUGGAGUUACGACCACUUUAAAUCCCUGGUAACCCAAAGUGAAGCCAUUUGUGGGGUCGAGAGACGGAAGAGGUUCGUUUGGAACAGGUUCAAAUCGAAACUUCUUGAUCAAAGCAGCUGUGAAGAGAAAAGCCAUCGUCAUUCAAAUGACGUUCCGGACGGAACACUUCCGGAUCUUUCCAGUACUUGGAAUCCUGGAAUACAGCAUGCAGAUUCAGGCUGACCAAACUUCCCUGGUCAUCAUUGGAAAAAAUACUAUACAUAAUGAGGAGGAGUGAGUGGUGCAAUGGUGCUGCAACGUUGAGCUUCCAUCAGAACUGAUUCAGUAUAAGGUAGACGUCUAUGAAAUCACCAGCUUCAUCGUCUGAUGGAUUUCGUUGUUGAUGAUCUUCAAUAGUUUCCUAUCUCCAACUUCGCCCAUCAUCUGAUCUUCAAUGGAAGUUUUGCCGAACCCCAAGUCUCUGAGAUGUCUCAUAGUGAAUUGACGCUGUUCUUGCCAAAAUUGACCCAUGACAAACAUAAUGCCUGGAGAUGGAUUCCCCAACAGCCAUCAUGACAGCUGAAUCUGGGCGACCGUUAAGGUCGUCAUUAAGCAUCGCUUCUUUCAUCGCUUCGUGACUGCAAACGGAAAUAACAGGCCUGCUGGGCCCCACGUACAAUCCCACCACAGGUCCGUAUACUUCGCUAAUUUUUUUCAUUGCCUUGUGUGGAUAUUGCGGAUCCCACGAUGAAAAAAAGGCAAAUAGCCUACCAGAGGUAAUCCCCUUGGACCUGCGUCUCAUUAGAGGAAAUAUUCUAAUAAUUUAAAUUCGUAAAAGGUCAAUUUUCAGUUUUACCUGGUGGAAAGUUAUGUGGGCGUUUCGUCAUUUUUAAGAUGAAACCGAUGAGCAGAAUCGUUGCACAAAGUUCAAAAAUCAUUCUGUUUCGAUUUUCAGAAUGAAUCUCUCUGAAUUGACGAAUUGACGAAAUAAUCAAAAUGUAUUACUUCGGUCAAUAUUCCCAAUUGCGAUGCUUUAAUGUAUUACACGACAUUUUUUGUAUGUUUUGCUAUAUUGUAAACCAAUAGUGAAAUAACAAUAAAAUAAACUGACACACAACACUUGUA